rnacentral:rRNA from 1 species
UACGUAGGGGGCAAGCGUUGUCCGGAUUUUUUGGGCGUAAAGAGCGUGUAGGCGGCUAGGUAGGUCCGUUGUGAAAACUCGAGGCUCAACCUCGAGACGUCGAUGGAAACCAUCUAGCUAGAGUCCGGAAGAGGAGAGUGGAAUUCCUGGUGUAGCGGUGAAAUGCGCAGAUAUCAGGAAGAACACCCGUGGCGAAGGCGGCUCUCUGGUACGUGACUGACGCUGAGACGCGAAAGCGUGGGGAGCGAACAGG